rnacentral:rRNA from 1 species
CUUGGGCAAUGGGGGAAACCCUGACCCAGCGACGCCGCGUGGGGGAUGAAGGCCUUCGGGUAGUAAACCCCUGUUAGGUGGGACGAAUGUCUUCCGGUAAAUAGCCGGGGGACUUGACGGUACCACCAGAGAAAGCCCCGGCUAACUCCGUGCCAGCAGCCGCGGUAAUACGGAGGGGGCGAGUGUUGUUCGGAAUUACUGGGCGUAAAAGGGCGCGCAGGCGGCUUGGCAAGUCGAGUGUGAAAUCCCUUGGCUUAACUGAGGAAUAGCGCUCGAAACUACCUCGCUGGAGGGCGGGAGAGGGAAGUGGAACUCUCGGUGUAGGGGUGAAAUCUGUAGAUAUCGAGAGGAACACCGGUGGCGAAGGCGGCUUCCUGGCCCGUACCUGACGCUGAGGCGCGAAAGCGUGGGGAGCAAACAGGAUUAGAUACCCUGGUAGUCCACGCCCUAAACGAUGGGCACUAGGUGUGGGCGGUAUUAAUCCCGCCUGUGCCGUAGCUAACGCAUUAAGUGCCCCGCCUGGGGAGUACGGUCGCAAGGCUAG